rnacentral:sRNA from 1 species
CUUGUAUGAUGCAGUAAGCAUCUCCACCAUCCUUCUGUUUACUCUGAUGGGGUCUGCAAAGGGGAGAAGAUGUAUAGGGUUGGGUAUCUCUGUAAAUGUCGGAAGUGAAGUUGACCUUAUGACCUUCUGUUCUGCAGGAGCUGUCCCAGAUGCAGACCCACAUCUCAGACACAUCCGUGGUGCUAUCCAUGGACAACAACCGCAACCUGGACCUGGACAGCAUCAUCGCCGAGGUCAAGGCCCAAUAUGAGGAGAUUGCUCAGAGGAGCCGGGCUGAGGCUGAGUCCUGGUACCAGACCAAGUACGAGGAGCUGCAGGUCACAGCAGGCAGACAUGGGGACGACCUGCGCAACACCAAGCAGGAGAUUGCUGAGAUCAACCGCAUGAUCCAGAGGCUGAGAUCUGAGAUCGACCAUGUCAAGAAGCAGGUACAGUGAGGUGCAAUGGAGGAAAGAAGCAUCAUUUUUUGCUAGACCCAUCAGGCAGUCAUUAGCCAUUAUUUGAGAUAAUUCCUGAAACGUAAACCAACACUGGGGUGAGGAACAUGUGUAGUUCUUGCCCUCAGUGAGAACUGAAUAGAGAAGUGAAUCCCACCCAAGAGGAUGAGCCUCUGAGGCACAAGCAAGGCCAGGUCUCAACAGUCAGGUAAAAAGUUAUCACCUCCCUUACAGAUGGUCAUAAUUUUGUAUAUUUUAAUGUGGCAUCCAGAUGUAUUCCUCAAAAUCAUUCUUGUAGUUUUGAAAACAGCACUCAAUACAAACCGAGCAUUCAUCUUCCAUAUGGCUUGUUUUUGGGUCCAUUGUAGUGUCUCCCAUAAGAUGCAAUGCACAUUCUCAUGCGGGUGCUUAAUACAAGGGGCAUAGGACUUUGUCACUUGACUCCCAGAGUAGACAAAUAUUGCCAAAUGGAGA